AGAACGAACGCUGGCGGCGUGGAUAAGACAUGCAAGUCGAACGCGAUUUAUCAGGUUAGCAAUAACUUGGUAAAUUGAGUGGCGAAAGGGUGCGUAACACGUGGGAAAUUACCAAGAAGUGGGGAAUAGCUCGACGAAAGUCGAAUUAAUACCGCAUAUGAUCGCAAGAUCAAAGCCGGGGACCGCAAGGCCUGGCGCUUUUUGAGAUGCCCGCGGCCCAUCAGCUAGUUGGCGGGGUAACGGCCCACCAAGGCUAUGACGGGUAGCUGGUCUGAGAGGACGACCAGCCACACUGGAACUGAGACACGGUCCAGACACCUACGGGUGGCAGCAGUCGAGAAUUUUUCACAAUGGACGAAAGUCUGAUGGAGCGACGCCGCGUGGAGGAUGAAGGUUUUCGGAUUGUAAACUCUGUCACUGCAGACAAGGAUGCGUCAGUUAACAGCCGACGUAUUUGAUGGUAUGCGGAGAGGAAGGGACGGCUAACUCUGUGACCG
rnacentral:rRNA from 1 species